rnacentral:rRNA from 1 species
GAUGAACGCUGACAGAAUGCUUAACACAUGCAAGUCGAUGGGGAAGUGGUGCUUGCACCAUGGUAACCAUGGCGGACGGGUGAGUAACGCGUAAGGAACUUACCUGCGGGACCGGGAUAACAGCAGGAAACUGCUGACAAGACCGGAUAAGGUCAUUAAGCUGCAUAGCUUAGUGAUGAAAGGAGACGCCUGCGGAGAGCCUUGCGUCCUAUUAGCUAGUUGGAGGGGUAACGGCCCACCAAGGCGAAGAUAGGGAGCCGGCCUGAGAGGGUGGACGGCCACAAGGGGACUGAGAUACGGCCCUUACUCCUACGGGAGGCAGCAGUGGGGAAUAUUGGACAAUGGGGGCAACCCUGAUCCAGCAAUUCUGUGUGCACGAAGACGGUUUUCGGAUUGUAAAGUGCUUUCAGCAGGGAAGAAGGAAGUGACGGUACCUGCAGAAGAAGCGACGGCUAAAUACGUG